GCAGAAGUUGACUUCAACGGUGAAUACACAAUUUCUGCCGCCUCCAGGGGAAAAGAAAUCAAACUUACAUUAGUCCCUUAUGGAAAAGGAAAGAAAUCUGCCAACAAACGCAAACCCCUGGAUAUUGUUUUUCAAUUCGGAAUGUCAGGAAGGUUUGAUUUCGACAAGGUGGCGGAGAUGAGAAAGCAUGCCCACCUGAAUUUCUUUACUAAAGAUGAGCCGCGGAUGGUGCUGAGUUAUGUUGACCCAAGAAGGUUUGGAAAGUGGCAGGUGGGAGGGGACUGGUCAACAAAGAGGGGACCGUGUGUCUUAUUUGAAUAUGACGAAUUCAGGAGGAAUGUCUUGGAAAAUGUGAAGAAACCAGCCUUCAACAAACCAAUAUGUGAAUGUCUUCUAAACCAAAAGUACUUUAAUGGUGUUGGAAACUACCUGAGAUCAGAAAUUUUGUUCAGGGCUGGGAUACCCCCCUUUGUGUCAGCAAGGUCUGUAUUGGAGCCCCUGACGAAUGGAGUGACAAAGAGUGGGGUCAAAGUGAAAAAGGAAUCCCCCGAUGUCUUGGAGCUGUGUCACACAGUACCACAGGAAGUGGUCAACCUGAAAGGCGGUGGAUAUGACCCGUGGGGCAGAGAUAAGAACUUUGCCAUUUUCAUUGGAUGGCUCCAGUGCUAUAAUAAACCAGAGAUGAAAAACAUGGGAGACCACAACAAGAGGACAGUAUUUUACUGUGGUGACCCAGGGCCAAUGGUGCCAAAAGAUAUUCAAGUAAGAGGAGUAAAAAGGUUUCCGAAACAGGCCAAUGUUUCAUCAAAGAAAAUGAAGAAAGACUUGGAGUCUUCGUCAGAGUCAUCGGAGGAAGAAGAAGAGGAGGAGGAGGUUCUGACCAAAGGGAAGAAGGAAGAUGAAGGCUCAAAGGCAAAACCAAAAUUAGCAAGAUCGUCUACAAAAUCAAAAUCAACAAGGCCAUCUAAAAAACCAAAACAAGGUAGGUCAUCAGGAAAAUUGUCUCCAGCUUUGUCGUCAAAGUCAGCAAGAUCACCAGCAAAGAAAGGACAGCGACCAGAUAGGGGCUCAGCCAGGUCUGCUAGAAAGAAGUAGACAUACUGCAAUGGCAUACAUUCAUGCACAUUUGUUGUUUUUAUAGCCCAUGUUCAUUUAUUUCAGUGGCAACUAUUGAACUUGCCAUUUGGGUUUUAAAACAGAGAGAUUAAGAGAAAAAAUAUCCAAUAUGUUACUUUAUAAAAUCUUUUUUCUGAAUUAAUACAUUGAUUAAAUUGAUUUGUUUGGAUUACAUGUGUUGCCAGAUUUAUUUGCAUGUAUACUUUAAACAUUAGAAAAUUUCAGAUAUUUAGAAUUUUCUUAUUCUUUUGUACAUUUCACAAUUAAAAAUGUAUUUUGUUUUUGUAUUCAUUGAAUAUUUUUACAUCAUUAUGUUUAUAUUAUGUUUUACAUUAUAACAUACCGUAAAUGCGAUAAUUUUUGCAAUGAUCUAAUUUUUGCUUUUUUCUGCAAUCUCUUUGAAAUCACUUUUAUUUUGCAGAGAUUUUAUUCUGUAUUUUUUCUAUUAGAAGCUUAAAAAAUUGCAAAAAAAUAUGACUGAUGUAAAUUAAAAAUUCUACACAUUUCCCCCCCACUUUCCCAAAUUUUGUUACACACCAAAAAAAAAUAAAAUUGGAUAUACGGUAUGAUACUUAACUUUGUUGAUGGCAGCAUGUUGAAAUUUAAACCACUGUAUUGUAAUGGUAUUUUAGCAGUAUGUAAAUUGCUAACUUUCAAAUCCCGGUGACAUUUGUCAUAGCAGGAAGUUCUAUAACACCUGCACCAAUAAAAGUUUCUGUCCCAGGAAUCUUGCUUGAGAUUGUUUUAAGGAAAUAAUGUUUAGGUUGACCCAUCACCAGUUAGCUAUUCUAUAAAACCCAUAUUUAUACAAUCAUGAACUAGUUAAAUAAUUUUCAUGUGAUCAAGAUCCCAGUAUUGACAAUGGGAAAAAACUCACCUAAAACCUUUGCUUUGAUUUUUAUUACAUGUAUUUGAUUUAAGUAUGGAUUUGUUAUGAGUUGAACAUUCUCUUGUGCCAUUUUGCUAACCAUGGUUUUUAGCCCCAAAGUUCCCCAUGUGUUGAUGGUGAACUAUACACUUGUAAUUGGGUUUUUUUUUUUCGUUUUUUUUAGUUAUUAAAUCUGAAGGAUAGUUUCAUUAUUUUGUUAUGCUUUUUGAGUUGAAGUGCUCUAAGUCAUGCAGAAUGUUUUAAAAAAGUAAUAACCGGUAAUGUUUUUGUGUUAAAAUUGCUUCAUUGUUUUAUAUAAGUACUUGAUAUGACGUUACAUAUGCAUUUUGUUUGGACUUAAAGAAUAUGUUUAUUUUCAAUCUUUGAUUUGUUUAAUUUGUGUGGGGUUUUUUUCAACAUACCUAUUAACUUUU
rnacentral:misc_RNA from 1 species